rnacentral:lncRNA from 1 species
GUAUGACCGAGGGCGCCAUUUUGGAACACAAAUGUAAACAAACACUUAAACCUCGUGUAAUCGAUGCACACCGUGAUGCUUGAUUGCGAUAUGCUUACCUCGUGUAUCGAAACAUUGUUCUCAAUCACCUCUAACACGGAAAUCCCGGUCGAAAUCCACCUGAGCCAUCCACAACGAGGACGUCAAGUAUUUCGAAAACUCGAUUGGCAGCCGAAGGAAGGAAGAGCAGCUUGCAGAUGCCAGCAUGUUCAGGGUUUGUGGGGAGGUUCACAGACAUCCUCAGGGAGGAUACCAAGUAUUGAAAUGUCCGGAUGAAUAAAAGAGACAGUCAUCUGUGCAGCAUCAAUGCAAAGAAAGACAAUAGAAGAGCAACAGUGAGUGAAACUGAAGUCCUGCUUGAGAUCCCUGGAUGAGUACUCCAGGUUGACAGUCUGGAAGACCAGACAAGGGAGUCCUAAACAGAGACUGCACCCCUUCAGAUAUCAGAGGUGAUUUGCAGACAGCGAUGACGAGGGUCCUGUUAUUUCAAUGGAGGCCGACCGAGAAGUUGUAUGCCAAAUGGUACAGGGACACACAAAGGCUGGUCUGGCUAAUGUGACAAGACCAACCAAUGCCAAGCUGGAGUGGAAUUCUUCCAGGACUUUCAGGAAAUUCUUGUCUUGAGCCAUAUGGUAAACACUUGAAAGGAAUGAUAAAUGGGACUUAUUGUCUUUAAAUGUGGACCCAAACACCAAAUGGAAAGUUCACAAUUCUACUAACACAAUGCAGCAGAGAUAGAGUCUAACUGGUAUCCCCUCAUCCUGGUUCCUGUUCAUCCAUGGCAAUAUAGAAAGAAAAGGAGGAUUGAGGGAAAGUAAGUUCUCUGAACUGGUGAACAUAAUCCGUAGGUACUGUCAAGUGAACAGUUAUCACACUCUGUUAUGAGUAUUGAAGAAUAGGAUGAAAUUGCAUACUGCAUCAGGAACCAUCAUGUGAACACUAUUCAAUGUGCGAUAUACUAUAGGCAUAUGAAUAAAAGAAAUUGAUAAUUUGA